GAUGAACGCUGGCGGCGUGCCUAAUACAUGCAAGUCGAGCGAACGGACGAGAAGCUUGCUUCUCUGAUGUUAGCGGCGGACGGGUGAGUAACACGUGGAUAACCUACCUAUAAGACUGGGAUAACUUCGGGAAACCGGCGCUAAUACCGGAUAAUAUUUUGAACCGCAUGGUUCAAAAGUGAAAGACGGUCUUGCUGUCACUUAUAGAUGGAUCCGCGCUGCAUUAGCUAGUUGGUAAGGUAACGGCUUACCAAGGCAACGAUGCAUAGCCGACCUGAGAGGGUGAUCGGCCACACUGGAAGUGAGACACGGUCCAGACUCCUACGGGAGGCAGCAGUAGGGAAUCGUCGGCAGUGGGCGAAAGCCUGACGGAGCAGCGCCGCGUGAGUGAUGAAGGUCUUCGGAUCGUAAAACUCUGUUAUUAGGGAAGAACAUAUGUGUAAGUAACUGUGCACAUCUUGACGGUACCUAAUAAGAAAGCCACGGCUAACUACGUG
rnacentral:rRNA from 1 species